rnacentral:tRNA from 1 species
GCCUUCGUGGUGUAGUGGUUCUGCACGCUGGGCCAUUAUUCCAGAAUUCCGUGGUUCGAUUCCCGGCGAAGGCG